rnacentral:rRNA from 1 species
AGCAGCCGCGGUAAUUCCAGCUCCAAUAGCGUAUAUUAAAGUUGUUGCAGUUAAAAAGCUCGUAGUUGAAUUUCAGGCCUGGCUGGACGGUCCGCCCUUCGGGUGAGUACUGUCUGUGGUCGGGUCCUACCUUCUGGCGAAGCGUCAUGGCCUUAACCGGCCGUGGCGGGGAACCAGGACUUUUACUGUGAAAAAAUUAGAGUGUUCAAAGCAGGCAAUCGCUUGGAUACAUUAGCAUGGAAUAAUGGAAUAGGACAAUGGUUCUAUUUGUUGGUUUCUAGGACCGUUGUAAUGAUUAAUAGGGAUAGUUGGGGGCAUUAGUAUUCAAUUGUCAGAGGUGAAAUUCUUGGAUUUAUUGAAGACUAACUACUGCGAAAGCAUUUGCCAAGGAUGUUUUCAUUAAUCAAGAACGAAAGUUAGGGGAUCGAAGACGAUCAGAUACCGUCGUAGUCUUAACCAUAAACUAUGCCGACUAGGAAUCGGGCGAUGUUGACAAAAUGACGC